CCUACGGGAGGCAGCAGUAAGGAAUAUUGGACAAUGCUCGCAAGAGUGAUCCAGCCAUGCCGCGUGCAGGAAGAAUGCCCUAUGGGUAGUAAACUGCUUUUGAACUAGAGAAAAUCCCAGUACGUGUACUGGGCUGAUAGUAUAGUUAGAAUAAGCAUCGGCUAACUUCGUGCCAGCAGCCGCGGUAAGACGAAGGAUGCAAGCGUUAUCCGGAUUCAUUGGGUUUAAAGGGAGCGUAGGUGGACUGAUAAGUCAGUGGUGAAAUCUCCGAGCUUAACUCGGAAAUUGCCAUCGAUACUGUUGGUCUUGAGUACAGUUGCUGUGGGCGGAAUAUGACAUGUAGUGGUGAAAUACAUAGAGAUGUCAUAGAACACCGAUUGCGAAGGCAGCUCACAAAGCUGUAACUGACACUGAGGCUCGAAAGUGCGGGGAUCAAACAGGAUUAGAUACCCUGGUAGUCCGCACCGUAAACGAUGAUUACUCGCUGCUAGGGGGCAACCGUUUAGUGGCUUAGCGAAAGCGAUUAAGUUAAUCCACCUUGGGGAGUUACGGCCGGCAACGGGUUGAAACUUCAAAGAGUUAGUUAGGCGNGNGAGAGCGACGGACGACGACAGGAGGAGGAAG
rnacentral:rRNA from 1 species